GGAAACGGAGAGGUUUCGCAAGAGAAACGAAGGUAAGCGGCGUUAAAUCGUCCGUAAAAAUUCCACCAGUAAUUGGCCGCUGAACUAUUUUCCAUUUUUCUUCGGUCGUUCUUUUGGUAUGUCGAUCUUUUUAAUACGUGGGUAUUCUUCGCUUUACGAUAACAGCAUUAAGUUCUUCGUCGUAAUAUAUUUGCAUUGCUUUCCCUUGUGAAACCGAUAAGUAGAUAGAUAUGAUUAAGGAAUUAAUUAAAAUUUAGGUUAGGAUUUUAUAAAUUCAAAAAAAUUUUAUUCGAUAACUGAAUUCCAAUAGUAAUCGUAAAAAAACAUAUAUUGUUGAAGAAGAUUCACAUCUAUUAAACGAUAUAACUAAGAACAGAAAUUGAAGAAAUAAAAAAUUGAUUAAUAUUAAAAAUGAUCUUCAAAGCAAAAUAUGUAAAUCAAAGAAAACGAAUGAUAUCGAUUCGAUCGAGGAUGAAUCGUGAGAUACGAUUGUCUGUAUCGAUACCGGUCAGGAUUCGAUUAGGACUUAAGUGGAUUAUAAACGACGUACUUGCAAAUCAGUUCUGCUCGGCAAUAAUUAACUAUCGGCAAGGAGUUCGCUUUAAGCCGUAUACCUUGUGCGGCUUCCCUACCGUGAUUACCUACGGACGGAAAUUGAGAGCUCGUUGCGUUGUCGACGACAAUGGACCACUCCACGAUCCUGUGUAAACCUCGUUUUCGAUCUACUGGCUCCUGGUCACUUAGACAUUGCACUCAUUAUUAAUUAUUAAUUAAAUAAUUAGAGAUUUCUUCUUAUAUAUUUAUAUGUAUAUCUUCUUAUAUAUAUUUUCUUAUGCAUUUGUUCGAAUCUUUAUGCAUAAUUAUUAUUAUUAUUAUUAUUAUUAUUACUAUUUGAAAAACUUAGAAAUAAUCUUUUAUGUUUUCAUAUUUAUAUUUGUGUAUAAUUAAUAUUUUUUGAAGAUCUUUUACAUGUAUAUACAACUUUAUUUAUAUCUUUAUAAAUAAUAAUUUUUAAAAAAUGUAAGUUAGGUUAAGUUUAGAGAAACUUAGAGAUUUCUUCUUUUUUAGUACAUUCAUAGUUAUUUGUAUCUUUGUAUUUUAUUUUUUAAAAAACUUAAAAAUUUUAUUCAUAUCUUUGCAAGUAAUUAUUAUUUUUUAGAGAAAUGUAGAAAAUUUAGCAAAACUUUAAAAAAAAGAUAUUUUUUUAUUUAUAUUAUAUUUUUAUUUAUAUUUUUAUAUAUAAUUUUUUUGAAGGAAUGUAGAAAGAAUAUUUGUAUUUUCAUAUUUGGAAAAUGAGCAUUUUUCUAAAAAAUAUCAUUCUUUAAUGAAGAACAUAUAAAAUGAGAUAAAAAGAGAUCAUAUUAAAAAAUUGAUUUCACAUUUGAAAGUUGUUAAUCAUAUAUUGUUUAUUUUACAUAUUUUUCAUAUUUUCCAUGUUUUGCGUAUAUUCUUUUUAAACAUGUAUUCAAAAGUAUAUUUAAAAGGCAUGUUUUAUAUUCGUCCAUCGUAUUUAUUUUAUAAAACUCGAUAUUAUGUCAAAGAUUGUAUUGAUAUUUAUCGAAAAUACGAGUAAAUUUUUGAAUAAAUUAAUAUUAACUGAUCCGGUAGAACAAUGUCAAAGAAUUUCUAAUCGACACGAUUAAAAGUUUUUGGGAAAGUAUGAUAUCUCAAAAUGAAAUUCAAUUUUGAACGAUGAUUUUAUAUAUCCAAAUUACAUUGCAAACAUAAGUGAAAUUUCGAAAGGUAAAAUUUAUUGAAAAGCUGGUACAAAUUGAAUGACGCUUUUGGAGUAAAUUUAAAUAUACACAUAUCUCUCUGUAAAUAUACGUCGAGUUAGUUUUAAUUGACGAAGGUCAUCGAUUAAUUACUUAUUUUCACAUUCUCUAUAAUUUUACGUAUAUUCGUAUGUUUUCAUGUAAAAUGUUCACGUUAUAUUUCACAUAUUUUAUUUACUUGUUUUGACUUGUAUUUUACGCGUAUAAAUAUUCGCAGCUCUGUUAUGAUAAAAAUAUUAAAUAAGAAAAGAGAAAUAUCGAUUCGAAAAAGAUAAAAAUAAGAGAAAAUAAAAUUUUUGGUGGAAUUUUAAGAGAUAAAAAAUAAAGAUCUAAUAUUAUAA